UACGGAGGGUGCGAGCGUUGUCCGGAAUUACUGGGCGUAAAGGGCGCGUAGGCGGCCACCGCAAGUCAGUUGUGAAAGCUCUGGGCUUAACCCAGAAAGGUCAGCUGAUACUGCGGGGCUAGAGUGCAGAAGGGGCAACUGGAAUUCUCGGUGUAGCGGUGAAAUGCGUAGAUAUCGAGAGGAACACCUGCGGCGAAGGCGGGUUGCUGGGCUGACACUGACGCUGACAGCGCGAAAGCUAGGGGAGCGAACGGG
rnacentral:rRNA from 1 species